GACGAACGCUGGCGGCGUGCUUAACACAUGCAAGUCGAACGAAGUGGCGAACGGGUGAGUAACGCGUAAUCAACCUGCCCUUCAGAGGGGGACAACAGGUGGAAACGACUGCUAAUACCGCAUACUGAAGGAGGGGAUUGCGUCUGAUUAGCUAGUUGGAGGGGUAACGGCCCACCAAGGCGAUGAUCAGUAGCCUGUCAGAGGGGAUGAACGGCCACAGGGGGACUGGGACACGGCCCAAAACACUGAGGGAGGCAGCAGUGGGGAAUCUUCCUCAAUGGACGAAAGUCUGACGGGGCUACGCCGGGGGAGUGAUGGCGGCCUUCGGGUUGUAAAGCUCUGUUAAUCGGGACGCGGUACCGGAAUAGAAAGCCACGGCUAACUACGUGCCAGCAGCCGCGGUAAUUC
rnacentral:rRNA from 1 species